UUCGCUGUUCUCACCUGUCAGGUGAAGGAACUCAAAGUGCAGCAAAGGCACAGCGCUGGUUCCAUCACCCCCUGCCUUCCACCGGCAGUUUUCCCGUCAGGAUGGCCGUGCUCGGGCAGCACCGUGUGUAAGCGAUCCCCGACCCGGAGCCAUGGCCGGACGGGGGAAUCCCGCCGUGCCCGCCCCUCAGGCGCCUGUGGGAUUAACGGCUUUACAGAGGAACAUCGCCGCCGCGAAGCGAGCUCCGGCCCGGGCCGUUCUUCUGCACGCAAAGAUGAAGGGCAAAGAAAAGUUGGGAAACCACCGGAUCACCCCCCACCCCUCACCCCUCUAAGGGAGGGUCAGAGCCGAGCGGCCCCGCGCUGCACCCAGACCAGCAGCGCAGGCACAUCGCGGGGGAAAACUUCCAAGGCAGAGCACACCCUUCCUUUUUGUUAUCUGAGUGAAUAUAUUUCAUGGCCUUCAUGUGUGGGAAACCUUCAAGCAUCAGAGCUACUUGGAUUCUGCUUCCAGUGAGGUCAAGGAGCUGAAGAUAAGGAAGCUAUGUUUAGCACUCCUGGAACUCCCCCAGAGUGAACACCUGAUAGACUGUAAUACAGCACCAGCAGACUUCAGCAUGUUCUCUGCACCUCUGAGGGGCUCAGAGCAGAAGGUGAGAUUCUGCAUAUAUGGACUCACUUCAGAGCAGACCGAUUGUGUUUAUCCUUUCUAAACGAAUUCAUUUCUUAGCAAUAAGAUAUUUAACAUUUAGCAGCUACAUCCAUCAUCUGGAUUCACAUCUUUGUUGCAAUUCCGUUGAGAACAAAUGUGUUAACUCAGCUCCAAGGAGGAAACAGGAGCCUCAGCUGUUCUUUAACAGCUGCCUGUACAACAUAUUUAGCACGAGGAGGUUGCAUUAAGUGUCCAAGUGAGACCUUGUUCCUCAUGCAGAAUUUUCUGUUUAUUCCUCAGAUUUAAACCUUCAGUACAGAGGACAAGAAGUCCUGAGGCCACAGUCAUGUUUUCUCUCAGCUGCCACUCUCUAUCCUGCUUUGAAAUCCUUAGAACAGAUUUCCAGCUGCACCAAUAUCUACUUGUAACUUGCCUGUAGAAGAGAUAGAGAACUAUAUGAACUAUUCACCUCUAAUAUGGAAGUUCUCCCUCAACAUACAAUUGAAAAUAAUAUCCCAACUCUUAUUUCCCAUUUUUCAAGACAACUAAAAUUAUAAACACAGCAACCGAAGGCUUUACUGAGAUGGGAACUGACAUUCUGCUAAAGAUGCUGUGUCAGGAGAUAGCAAAUGCUCAAGUUUCUUAGGAAGUCUGUUCCCUGUAAGUGAAACCAUGAGAAUUUCAUCUCCCCUCUCCCUCCCAAAGAAACCAAGGGCACCAGUUAUAGAUGCACCCCGUCAGCAUCACCUGCAUGCAACAUGUCUAUACUUCAUAUCUUCUUGUUUCUCUAUAGAAAAAUUCUGAAAUCGCGUUAUCAGACAAAAAGCCUCGCUUGGGAUCUGUUCUGAUGGCACCUGCAAUUAUUUCCAUCUGUCGGGGGAAAGAAAAAAGAACUAGAACAAGCUGUAAUGCAAAGUAAACUAUUUAUUUAUUUUACAAUCUUUAUGAAAAUAACAUCGCUCAGGUUUUGUGAUUCAAAUGUCUUGUACCGCGUAUUGCUCAUUUCCAACAUGGCACUUAAGGAAAGGUUCACCAAAACAGCUAUGCAAGUUCAUCAAAGUGACUCAACACUCAUUUCUCAUCUUAAUAUGACUGAACAUACAACUUGAUUAAUCAAAUUUAGGACAAUUCAUUCAUUCUUGAUGUCAAAAUGAACAAAAAUAUUUCCCUUUCUGCUAAAAUAAUCUCACCACAUUUACAAAGAUUGAGGGGAAAAGAAUCUGUCACAAAAGACACCCAAAGGGUUACCAAAUAUUCUAUUGAUUACAUACCUGGUAAAAAAAAUAAACUGGUAACAGGUGAUGAUAGACACAUGUGCAGGUAAAGCUGAAAUACUGGGUAGUCUUAACGGCUAGAGGUAUUGUGCACCAACAUUCUGGCUAUUUAACAGAAGAUAACAGAACAUUUUUAAACAAGAAACCAGAAGUUUCACCGGAGAGUCACACAUAAGCAUACAAAGAUGGAGAAAUAUUCCACACUAUGUAAAUGAGCAGUUUGGUUUACAUAACCUACUGGGCAUCAUGCAUAAGAAACUCAGUGCACAUAAGUGCAUGAUCUUCAGUUUAAAAAACAAAAACAUUCUCUACGGUCUUUAUUUGCAUUACCAAGUCCACUUCCUACUAAGUGGCUGCUAGGAAUGUUAAACCCUCAGACUGUUUUGUAAGAUUUCCCUCCGUUGUGAACACUUUAUAUCUACACAGUUCAGCUUCUGCAGGAUGACAAGUCUCACUGUGCUUCUGCUCUGUUCAUUUGGUUCAAAUAUGGGUUGUGUAUCUUGUGUAGCCCCAAAUGUAGUUACUGCUCAAAGAUGCCAGAUUAAGAACCGCUAGAAAACUAGCAUUUGCCUGAAGACAUCUGUAACAGCAAGGCAAGCUUCCUACCAUGUGCAUCGCUUUUCAGUUGCAUGUGGAUUUCUAGCGAUCGUUGCUCAGAUGCCUCUUUCAAUUAUUAUUUUUUACCUUUUAACUAAGGAUUCUUAACCAAAUAAGUCAAUAGCUUGCUUGGCACUUUGGUAAAUGAACAGCAACUCAUUUCAAUAGAAAACAGAAUACCCAGAGACAACACGAUUUGCAUAAUUUCCUAAUAUUCAGGUAGGAGAUUCCCAUAACGGAAUAAGAAACAGAGCUACUUUGUUCCACCAAACAAUCCAUUAACAAUUUGUAUAAUGAAUCACAAUAAUGCAGUUCACACUUCAGCAUAAAUGUAAAAAAAGAAGUGGCACUGCAAUACUGUAGGUCAUGUUUUGAUAUCUACAGAACCUCCUGAAUGGCUCCCUAAAGUUAGUUUUAGCUCCGCAGCCCAAAGACUUCAAUGAAUUCUGCAUGAAAAUGCCUUAAGCCACAGAACCAGUUCCUACUGCAGACACACAUCCAAAGUCUUCACCUCCACAUUUCAACUGCUGCCACUAGAAGGAAGAUCUUCAGCUUAGAAAAAAAUUUCAUUUAACACUUGAAAAUAAGAUGAAAACAACCAAAAAUACUGGACGUUACAGAGUCAUUUAGAGACCAGCUCUUUCCAAAAACAGCAUAAGUAGAAAAUUAGAAAAGCUGGUCCCAUUUUUCUAUUCAAAUACUGAUUGUAAGUAAAAAGAAUACAGUACAUGCAAUAAUAUGAAAAACCCUGCCUAACAAAUUCAAGUAAACAACCAAGAGUAACUAGGAAAAAAGAAAACUUACCCCUAACAACAGACAAGAGAAGGUAGGGGUCAUUUUAGAAGACACAUAACAUACAGAUCAAGAUGAUUCUACUGCGUGUCCCCACUGGCAAAGAUUUGCUGGCUAAUUUGAAGUUAUGUAGGCAUACGUUAUCUGUCAAAGUAAAACCUGCAAGUUACGUUCACCUCGCUGAUGAAAUAUUUCCCUCCCAGAUAAACUGACUAAUAAUAUGUCUAAAGAAGGCUAUAAAUACAUCCACAAGGAAAAAAAAAAGUGCUGUGAGAGAUGCAAGAUUUCUCUGCAAACAUGUUGAAUCGUUACAAGAGGACACCUGACAGAGAAAUCCCACCUGCCCUCAGGAAACUGAAAGAGAUGAAGCAGAAGCUUCACGCACUUGGACUGCUCCUGACCACUGGUUUUUGGUUUGUUUUGCCAAUUAACCACUCCUUCCCAGAGCUGAGCAAUUUGCUGACUAGUGUUUGAAUGUCAGUUUUAUCACGAUCUAUCCUGAGCCAACAUCUAAGCCAAUCUAACAUGAAGAUUCAACUGCUCAAGAAAGAGCACUGCAGGAGUACAGAGAAAAGCCAAUUAAACAAACAAACAACAAAACACAGCAGAAAAAUCCACACACUCUCACAGGAACUCUUCCUCAUUGUCAGAACUGUUUAAGAAUACAGCUAGCAUUGAAAUGAGAUAGAAUGGCCUCCAGUCACAUUUUCACUGAUGCUCCAAAUCCUUCCUAAGAGCUGUCUUAAAGCAUGAGCACAAAACGCUCACAGAGAACCUGAGCAGAUUAAGAAAACAUUGCAUUUUUCUGCUGGAAAAGGAUCUUAAAAUUGGUUGUGCGUGCUGUGGCCUUUAGGGUUCUUUGAUUAACACUUGUUUUUUGAAUCCCAUCUUUACCACUAUUACAGAUCAGUUAUAUGUUCACGCAGAAAGAAUGCUGUGUCACUUUUUAAAGAUGACGACUCUGUCCUACUUUCAGACCUAAACAGAACAAAUUAAAUUCAAAAUAAAGAAAAAGAAAAUACUAAUUCGGUAUUAAAAGAUAGUACUCCUGCAGAAAGCUCUGUUCUUCUUCCCUAAUAGCUGGGAUUUGGUUGUGGCUUUGUUUUUUUGAGAGAAAAAAUAGAAAACUGAACAGAAUUUGCUCAAUUAAACCUUUUGUAGUAACAUCAAUCUUCAGCAACACACCUGCUCAGAAAAGCAUACAUGAUAUUUGAUAUCAUUCUGUAGUACUAUACAUUAAACAUUCAAUGACAAAUAAGGACUUAUCUUACACUUAAGUACUUAAAGUCUUCUGUUGGACGAUCCAUUUCACGUCACUUCAGGAAAAGAUAAAGGAAUGUAGAAUUCCUUCUCAUGCUUCACACCGUUCUUUUCUAGUUGUGACCAAAAAUAGGCUUUUUUUUUUUUUGCCCAAGGACAA